rnacentral:rRNA from 1 species
GUCAAAUGCUUUUAUGUUUAAGGAUAAGCUGUGAAUGUACCAAGUUUACUUGGAAAUUGUGUGAUUUCACGCUGCUGAAAAAAGUUUCGUAGGAAGAAAAUAUUGCCCGUACCGCAAACCGACACAGGUACUCAAGUGGAGAACACUAAGGUGAGCGAGUGAACUAUUGUUAAGGAACUCUGCAAAAUGAGUCCGUAACUUCGGAAGAAGGACUGCUGGUUUUAUACCAGCCGCAGCAAAUAGGCCCAAACAACUGUUUAUCAAAAACACAGGUUUCUGCAAAAUCGUAAGAUGAAGUAUAGGGGCUGACGCCUGCCCAGUGCUGGAAGGUUAAAAGGAGGACUUAGCUUCGGCGAAGGUCUUAAUUGAAGCCCCAGUGAACGGCGGCCGUAACUAUAACGGUCCUAAGGUAGCGAAAUUCCUUGUCGGGUAAGUUCCGACCCGCAUGAAAGGCGUAAUGAUUUGGGCGCUGUCUCAACAAUAGACUCGGUGAAAUUUAAAUUCCAGUGAAGAUGCUGGGUACCCGCGACAGGACGGAAAGACCCCGUGGAGCUUUACUGUAGCUUGAUAUUGAAUGUUUGUGCUGCAUGUGCAGGAUAGGUAGGAGACUUUGAAGUCGGAACGCUAGUUUCGAUUGAGUCACCCUUGAGAUACUACCUCUGUUGUAUGAACGUUCUAACUCUGAUCAGUUAUCCUGAUCGAAGACAGUGUCUGGCAGGCAGUUUGACUGGGGCGGUCGCCUCCUAAAAGAUAACGGAGGCGCUCAAAGGUUUGCUCAGAAUGGUUGGAAAUCAUUCGUAGCGUGUAAAGGCAUAAGCAAGCUUGACUGUGAGACUGACAAGUCGAGCAGGUACGAAAGUAGGACUUAGUGAUCCGGUGGUUCCGUAUGGAAGGGCCAUCGCUCAACGGACAAAAGCUACCCCGGGGAUAACAGGCUCAUCUCCCCCAAGAGUCCACAUCGACGGGGAGGUUUGGCACCUCGAUGUCGGCUCAUCGCAUCCUGGGGC